rnacentral:lncRNA from 1 species
CCAUAACCAGAGACCUAAAAUCUGUGAACGGGGCCCCUACCACAUGUCUGGCGAUCCGCGGCUGCAGGCUCCUCAAAACCAUCUGAAUCUGGUCCCUCUCUGAUGGUCUAUCGAUAAUCUCAGCUAUCUUCCCGCGCCAGCGGGAAAUGAACGAAGAAACUGACUCGUCCGAUCUCUGCCUAAGAGCCUCUAGCUCUCUCCUCGAUACGUCUACGACAGUGUUA